CAGCCGCCGCGGCGAUACAUAGGGGGCUAGCGUUGUCCGGAUUUACUGGGCGUAAAGAGCUCGUAGGCGGUUUAAUAAGUCGACAAGUGAAAUCUCCAGGCUCAACCUGGAGCAGCCUUGCGAUACUAUUAUGACUUGAGUGUGGUAGAGGAGUGUGGAAUUCCCAGUGUAGCGGUGAAAUGCGCAGAUAUUGGGAGGAACACCUAUGGCGAAGGCAGCACUCUGGGCCAUUACUGACGCUGAGGAGCGAAAGCGUGGGGAGCGAACAGGAUUAGAUACCCUGGUAGUCCACGCCGUAAACGUUGGACACUAGGUGUGGGGUGCGAUCAACGCAUUCCGUGCCGAAGUUAACGCAUUAAGUGUCCCGCCUGGGGAGUACGAUCGCAAGAUUAAAACUCAAAGGAAUUGACGGGGGCCCGCACAAGCGGUGGAGUAUGUGGUUUAAUUCGAUGCAACGCGAAGAACCUUACCUAGAUUUGACAUGUAGGUUAACGGUAUGAAAGUACCUGAUCCUUAGGGAUCCUACACAGGUGGUGCAUGGCC
rnacentral:rRNA from 1 species